UCUGACGUCCCUUUAGGAGUUUGCUCUCGUGAGGCGGCGGCUAUGUCUGGGUGCAACGAUCGCGCCUCGUCUAUCGGAAUUGCUAUCGCGGUACAUAGCUGCCGAGAAGUAGCAGCGGCAGCAGCAUCAGCCACGGCGGCGGCGCGACGCUACGACAAGGAGUUAUGAUAUCGGCGCCGAUCGCCGCGCCAAGUGAAAACACGCUGGCGCUUCUUGACGAAGCUGCGCUACGCCGAGGAGAGCGAAAGCGCAUAUGUGAAGGAAGGAGCUUCCGCAGGAGAAACAAGACGAGGAGAGGUAAGUUGUGCGGCAAAAAGUCUGAUGAAUCAACGAGGGGAAGAGGAUGACAAAAGAGGACUCGGAGGAUUGAUUAUGAGCAUUAACAGUUAAUAAAUGAAAAUACAAACGUACACAUUUUUUUAAACGAGUUCGCAAUUCCUCGCAGCGCCGAUUUGUGCGAUAGAAAAUCUCUAGCGCUAUCAAAAGAAUAAUCCGCGCGGCAUUUGCAACGAACCAUUAGACUGACUCGCC